rnacentral:rRNA from 1 species
AGUGAACGCUGGCGGUAGGCCUAACGCAUGCAAGUCGAACGGCAGCACAGUAAGAGCUUGCUCUUACGGGUGGCGAGUGGCGGACGGGUGAGGAAUACAUCGGAAUCUACUUUUUCGUGGGGGAUAACGUAGGGAAACUUACGCUAAUACCGCAUACGACCUACGGGUGAAAGCAGGGGAUCUUCGGACCUUGCGCGAUUGACUGAGCCGAUGUCGGAUUAGCUAGUUGGCGGGGUAAAGGCCCACCAAGGCGACGAUCCGUAGCUGGUCUGAGAGGAUGAUCAGCCACACUGGAACUGAGACACGGUCCAGACUCCUACGGGAGGCAGCAGUGGGGAAUAUUGGACAAUGGGCGCAAGCCUGAUCCAGCCAUACCGCGUGGGUGAAGAAGGCCUUCGGGUUGUAAAGCCCUUUUGUUGGGAAAGAAAAGCAGCAGGUUAAUACCCCGCUGUUCUGACGGUACCCAAAGAAUAAGCACCGGCUAACUUCGUG